rnacentral:rRNA from 1 species
AACGAACGCUGGCGGCAGGCUUAACACAUGCAAGUCGAACGCAUCCUUCGGGGUGAGUGGCAGACGGGUGAGGAACGCGUGGGAACGUGCCCUUCAGUUCGGGAUAACCCAGGGAAACUUGGGCUAAUACCGGAUACGUGCGAGAGCAGAAAGAUUUAUCGCUGAAGGAUCGGCCCGCGUCUGAUUAGCUAGUUGGUGGGGUAAUGACCCACCAAGGCGACGAUCAGUAGCUGGUCUGAGAGGAUGAUCAGCCACAUUGGGACUGAGACACGGCCCAAACUCCUACGGGAGGCAGCAGUGGGGAAUAUUGGAAAAUGGGCGCAAGCCUGAUCCAGCCAUGCCGCGUGAGUGAUGAAGGCCUUAGGGUUGUAAAGCUCUUUCGUCCGGGACGAUAAUGACGGUACCGGAAGAAGAAGCCCCGGCUAACUUCGUGCCAGCCGCCGCAGUAACAC